rnacentral:rRNA from 1 species
UACGUAGGGUGCAAGCGUUGUCCGGAAUUAUUGGGCGUAAAGAGCUCGUAGGCGGUUUGUCGCGUCUGCUGUGAAAACCCGAGGCUCAACCUCGGGCCUGCAGUGGGUACGGGCAGACUAGAGUGCGGUAGGGGAGAUUGGAAUUCCUGGUGUAGAGGUGAAAUUCGUAGAUAUCAAGCGGAACACCGGUGGCGAAGGCCGGCCUUCGUGGACAGUGACUGACGCUGAGACGCGAAGCGUGGGAGCAACAGGAUAGAU